rnacentral:lncRNA from 1 species
CGUGGAGUUCUUGCCCGCUGAUACACAGAUAUGCACGUGUGUGGAGUUCUAUGUAAGCACAAAGCAUCAGUUUGUCUGUGACCAGCAACCAUGCAAGCCUACCUGCAGCAGUGUUCUCAUCUGCGCUGAGAAACCCUUAGAAAUUGAGGGAUUGAUCUGCAAAGUGCUGGACAUUUGUGUAGCUACUUGUGCAGGAGGUGCUCAGGGGACACAUUUACGUUUUACCGACAUGACUGUUCUGGAGAAAUGGAGUUGGAGUUCUGUAGCAGUGUACCCAGCAUAUGCUUCCAAACCUGCCAGCUGUGUUGUACAGAUGAGACAUCAGUGACAGUUGUACAUACAUGUCAUUUUCACCACAUUUCACUUAUUUCUAUCCAUAAUAAACUAUACCAGUGAGGAAUACCGUGC